AAACCUAACAAAGCUGCUUUCAUUCUCACGCGGUGUUCAGACGUGCAGGGUGGAUGCGAGCGUUCGGAAUCUCACAGGCCUUUUUGUCCUUUAUUCCUUUUUUUCCACUUUGAGCAUAAUCAUCCACACUGAUGGCGUCGAGUUCGACUUGUCACUUUUCUUUUCUGUCUAAAGGACUACUUUUUUUAUACUUUCAUUCUUUUUUAUGAGAACUGCUGCUCACUUUUUUCUUUUACCGUUUGAGUCUUCAAAAGAAAUAAUUUCUGUUCAUCUGAGCAAAUAAAAAGACUCUAAACAUAAACAUGGAACACAACAGCAAAACCAAUAGGAAAAGCAGAAGGAAGAGCGCGACACAGAGAACAGCCUGAAACAGUGACGCUGGUGUUUAUGGUUCAGCUGUGUGGUCUGUGAUCUGCAGAUGUGCAGUGUGGGCCUGGAAAAAGUUCAGCAAAUUAUUCAUGCAUCGAGGUGAUGAUGUUAAACUGUCGGUGGAGGAGACUGAACCAGUACAGCUCCAGAGCUCAGUGCGUCAGUUCUUCUCCGACUGAGGCUCAUAAAACAGAGACUGAACAAGAGACACUUUACUUUCAACAUACGGUGCUGCUAUAACUUUAGAGUAUUAAAGGCUCAAACCCUGGACGCCUGACUCAAUUUGUUUUAAACUGUCUAAAAAUGCCCUAAAUAUUUCCAUGGUUUAAUCACGACAAACCCUUAUGAGGGAAUAUCAGAAUUAGCUGAUAUCUCAGAACAACAGUGUGAAACGAUCAAAUGAAUUCAUUGAGUUGCUCCUCUCCCCGUGCUGCUUUCUGUCAGCUUGACAACUCAGAAGGAAAAGUUUUGUUUUAUAAUGACCAAGUCAGAGUCCAGUCUUAAGCUAUUCUAGACCUGAAAAGCACUGUUCAUGCAGCUGACCCUCAGCCUAGUGCUCUAAAACGAAUGGUCUAAAGUUCCUCCUCACUCUGCAAGUCCUAUCAGCAGCUACAGGACACCACUGACAUCAACUCAUCAACUGAUUUUCUCAGUCAUGCAGAGCUGUGAAUUAUUAAUCAAAGACUUCAAUUAAGACCUCUUUGUGAUAUUAGUUUAAACAAGACGAGUGUUUUAUUACGAUUUUCACUUGAAUGAAGAUACAUUUCCGAAAUAUUUUGACCUUUGGAAUCCAGGUGCUUCUGUCAAAAAAACAAGGUCCAUUUGCAGAGUUUAGUGUUAAUGGAGAACUUGAAUGGACUGCACAGAGCCAAUACUGGGCAGCUAGUCAGGCUUUAUUACCCAUCAUCAGUGGCUAUGCAGUUUAAUAUUCCACCAAUAAUCCAACUGAUAGCUGAAUAGAAAACAUCCACGUGUACACCUCCGUUAGAAUAAAGUAAACCAACUGAGGCCAGAGACAUGUCUGUCCAGCUGAAUGAGGUGUGUUAAUGUCCUUUUAACAAGCCUUUAAAUAAAAGAAGAGCAGCCAUGUAAACAUUUAUGUCUGAUUACUUUUAUCAGAAUCUGCAUUACUUCAGUUCUGUUUAUGUUUAUGCUUUUACAUUAUGGUUCUCUCUCUCUCUCUCUCUUUCUCACUUUCUUUCUCUCUCUUUCUCCUUCACAGUCUCACUCUGGUGUGUAGACUAAUUAAACACACACACACACACACAGACACACACAAAACACAGUUAUUCACACCAAAAACUAGGUGCAUCUUCACAGGCAUUUGACAUGAUGAAGAAAAAGAACUGAUAUUGUUAAGAUGAAGCGUCGAAACAACUGCACAACCAGUUGCAACAGAUAUUUGUUUGCAAUUUCCUUAUGUGCAACAUCCUUGUGGUGAAUUUUCAUUCUGCAGUUUUCAUUCCCACACAGAGUUUAAACGUACAGUGUAGAUGUGAGUACUCGCAAUUUCACAGGACCUUUUUUUGUCUUUUUUUCAGUCUAUUCUUUUCCCAUUUUGGUCUGGUGUGAGGAGACAUCGGAAAAAUUUUCUUUUGGCUGCAUCACUUCAGCAGUGGGACAGGAACUGUCUUUUACUUGUCUAUUCUGUUUAAAGGUCUCAUACAUUUUUUUCAUGAGACUUCAUGAGACUUUUGUCUAAAUGCUGCAGAAACCCAUAGCAGCUCUUUCUGGAUAAGAUUGGACACAGGUUCAUUCUCUAUCACACGUACAGCAUGGAGGUUAGCAGAAUUUUUGGACCAUUAUUCCUGUUUUCCAUUUUGACCUGGUAUCAAUAAACCUGGAGAGCUUUUUUGGCCAAAUCACUUCGGCGGUGGAAAUUUAGUUUUACUUUCUUUUCUAUCUAAAGGACUCCUACUUUAAACCUUCAUACUCUUUUAUGAGAAUUUGUGAAUUUUGCCUGAAUGCUGCUUAAUUUCUGUCAAGAGUUCUGUGAUAUCCAGUGUCCCGACUGCUUCAUGGGAUUUUUUUGCAGUGUCCCGAUUGCUUCAUGGGAUUUUUUUAAUGUUUGGGUCGUCAAAAGAAAUAAAUUCAGUUCCUCCGAGAAAAUAAAAAGACUCUAAACUUUAACAUGGAACACAACAUUAAAACCUUUACAAAAAGCAGAAGCCAGAGAGCAACAGAGAGCAAAACUCAGAAACCUGGUUACAUUUCUAAAAGCCACAUCCUGAAUCCGAUAUAACGACGCUGGUGGUUAUGGUUCAGCUGUGUGGUCUGUGAUCUGCAGAUGUGCAGUGUGGGCCUGGAAAAAGUUCAGCAAAUUAUUCAUGCGUCGAGGGUCGCAGGCUACAUCAAACUACAACGCAUGGCUUUGGACUGAGGGAGGAAACCCGAGGACCUGGAGGAGCCCCUCGAAUCACGGGGAGAACAUGCAGACUCCGAGCACAGAGAGCGGAGGUGCGAAUCGAACCCACAACCCCAGAGAUGACGAUGUGAAAACUUCAGUUGAGGAAACUGGAUCCAGCUCGGUGCGUCCGUUCUGAGGUCCAGUGCAGCGUUCGUGCAUUUGUGGCUCGUCAGUUUAGAAAGAUGGACAAGAAGAGAAGUUUUCGAAGCCAGUCACAGCUUUGCAGUAUUAUAUGGGUUGAAAUAAAGACUGAAUAAAAUGCAUG